AAAUCUAAAUUAUGCCUAAUUUAAUAUUGAUUUACACGUACUUUGUUAAUGCAUAUUUGAUCAAUAUCGAAACUUUUUUUUUACAUCAAUUUAAUCAAUGUUAAUUUAUAAUUAGGAACGUUAAACAUAAAUUAAAACGAUCAAAUUAACAUUUAUAUAUACAUCCGCUAAUUCUGAAAUCUUGCUACGAAGAAAUCAAUGAAUUGACGCGAUGCUAUCGCAUUUGUUGACGCGACGAAAGGUGAGUAUAAUCGGCGGAACUCUCGUAAUGCUAUCGCACUUCCGGAACUGGGUAACUAAUCCGGGUCAUGCGAGAGAUAGAGAAGCAGAAGAAUUUCUCGUCAAGUGCACCCACACUGCAAAUGCAUUCGAGGCGAGGAGGGAAUCCGUAGGCAGGACGAACGGAGAGAGUGAGAUAGCCGAGGAUGGGAGCGAGCGAAGAGUCGGCGGAGUAGAGACCCGGCAAGAUAGAGGAGCCGGUGGGAGGAUGGCGGUUAGAAUUUAUGGCCGCUUUAUCACUUUACCGGCCUUGCCGCGUCUCCUUUAGCCUGUGAGGAGGGCAGGAUCUCACGAUGAACUUUGGCACUCGACUACGCUGCACUCGACGAGCGAUUAAUUACGCAUCAUCUAUCACGGAUAUACUAUUACGGAUUUCAACAAAAUUGUUCGGCUCUAUCUCUGAAAACGGAUACUCCUUCAUCACAUAUAUCAUCAUUACAAUCAUCACAUUAUACGAAUCAAUCAACACGAAUAAUGAAGAUUUAGUGACGCUAUUUGAGAUUUAAGUGAAUGGACAACGACUUGAAAUUGAUGAAAACAUAAAAUUUGGCGUUAAUAAUUUGCAUCUAAAGCGCAACAGAAAUGAAUAGAAAUCAAUCACUCCUCUGAUACCAAAGUGUAUAAUUACAAACAAGAAAUUUUUUUUUAAAAAAAAAUGUUAGGGAAUAUAAGAUAAAAUUAAUAAAAAAUUCAGAUAAUGUUAUAAUUUAUCUAGAAAUCGAGGAGUCUCAUCAGUCACUCAAAUGUUAUCGGAUAACGUAAUGGGUAUGGUGCACAUCGAUGGUGGACCCAAUCGAGGACUGGAAUUGCCAGGCAUAGAAAGCAACGCCGUAAUUAAACAAAGCUUUCAUAUGUUUGUUAACUUGAACUACAAUUUAAAACUGGCGCCUUUUCGAGGAUACCGGCAACCAUUAGACUGCCCCCGUGACAUUCGAGGUAGAGUAUGAUGGUUCCAUCGAGUAGGUAGUGCCUAGACGGGGCUCCACCCAGCACUUAGUUUACGUCGCGAUUGCGGCCCCGGGCACGGCCGUUUCCAGGGUACAGUCACGCCCCUGCCAUGCGAGUACUGUACUCCUAUUCGCUGGCCCAUAUCUCAUCUGGUCCAUCGCAUUAGCCUAAUCUGCCAGCAACGUGAACGAAGAAAAAAAAAUACGGCCAUCGACGUUGCCACUGACGAGAGAAAUCGUGGCGAGGUGCUGCCACCUUACUGGUAGGAUCGAGAGGUUGAUCGGCUGUCGAAUUGAUUUUUUUUCCCCGCAAGCAACGUUAUCACGCUCUCAUUUUGACUAGUAGUUCGAUUUCAUUAUUCGUGUACCGUUAGGGUUAAUAUCUUUUACUACGACUUCGUAAUUCACGGUCCUACCUAUUCGCGCCGGCCAGAAUCGAGAGUUUCUUCUUCCUGAUUGCCUGGACCAAAAUGAUAGUUAGUUUCCAUCAUUGGUUCACCGUUAUGAGGUCGAGAAGCUAGAGACAAUGCAGAUGUAGGAGAUCUGUGAGAUUAAGAACAGCAGUCUGCGGAUCAACUUGGCGCAGCUGCCGUCGACGACUAGCUGACAGGUGAUUUCGUCUCGGUGAAAGAAGGUGAUUGCCUCAUUACAGCAACUAACUAUAAGCAGGUAAUAAUCUCACAACUUUGUUGUUUUCUUUUUACUACUCGCGCAAUAAUUAUAUACAAGCAGUAAAGUAAGUGAGUUGUCAAGUAUAUAAAACUGGAGCGGUUGAAGGCUGAAAUUUUUCUUUAUCGAGAAAAACAAUCUUAUAUUGAUUAUAGCUUCUCACAAUUUAUGCACUUGUUAUUUAUGAAGUCGUAUUACGUCUACGUGUCGCAUUGUUAUUAUUAUUGCGCACUGUCUAAUUAACGGCUAUUUAUCGUUACCGACUGUAAGAUUUUCUGCACCAAUGUCUAAUCUCACGACAAAAAUAUGAAAAUUUGAUUUAUUUCAUAAUAAUAAAAGAUCCUGUAUUAUUGGCGAAUAUGUUAAACAUUAUAUCUAAAUAUUGUUCUUUAAAUUAAAAAAAUAAGCAAACAAAAAGUGUGGGUAUAUCAAGAAGCGUCACGGUGAACGGUGUGCCGAUACGCGAGUCACGGUGACGAUUCCUAACACUUUGCCAUCGCUACGGUAGAAAAGGCGAGCGCAAUUUCCGGCGCAUCGUCUUCCACCGCAACAACGUACAAAGAGCGGGGAAUCUUUUCGUUUCUGUGAAUGCCGUGCAUUAAUCAAGCGCCGCGGGCGCCUGACGUCUUAAUCUGCUUAAUCCUCGGUGGCCUACGCAACAUCCUGCACGCCCACGAUUCUAUGUAUGUACUAAACGCCAGGUACGUCCACGAUGCGGCCUUUGUCAGGACGUAAGGUUCUUGUCGUGAGAUCGGUUGUAACAACGUGCGCAUGUAACGGGAUUCCGCGGUGAAUACAAAGUUGCAUGGCAGAUGAAUAAUCGGCGCGAUAUCGAUAUUCGCGUGGAAUGGAACGGCCGAGUGUACGGCGAGAGGAGAGUAUUCAUUGCUGGAUGGCGAAGAACAGUUAUCCCCCGUGCGGAUUCGAGAAAUGAUUAAAAAUAUGCGUGCAAACGCACUUUCUCGAUCUUCGCGGUAAUGAGUUUGACUGUCCCUAUGUCCGUGAGAUUAAUAUGUUAAGUAAAAAUAAAUUUUGUACGUGUGUGCGUGCGAUCGGUUGUUGUAUAUUAAUGUCUAUAUGUUCGGCGAAACUUGACCCGACAUGCUGUUCAUAAAAGGCUUGUUUACGAGACAAGUAUGUGAAUGAGUAAAUCCUAAUAAAUGGAUUGCCUUAAUUGUGACAUAUUAAAGAAUGUAAAUAUGGAUUUUUAAUUAAAGGCUUUUUUUUAACGAGAACUGUCGCUGUAAUGAGGAUUAUUCAGUAAUCGGAUGGAUAAAAAGAAAAAAGGGAUAAGGAGGAAGGCCACGAAAGAUCGAACGCGGCCUAAUCUUACACACGACCGACAUCGUUUCGUGGGUGUCGUGCUUUCACUUCAAGGCAGUUUGACUGCAGAAGGCGAUUGGUUCUCGCAGGGCUCCUCCCAGAAGCCAUUAGGAGCCGAAACGGAGAAACAGCAUUAAUUUUAAAACCAAUCCUGAAAGAGAAAUCGGGCAUUGGUUAUCAUUCGUGCGAGUCCACGAUGAGGAGAAAAUCUUCCAAAAGAAGAGCCGCCUUAAUUGCUCGAUCGUUUUAUCUCUCACCUUUCGGAAACAAGCUAUUCACUUGAGUCAAGAAAUUAGAUCGACUCUAAUUUCCAAAAUUAGAUUAUCUCAUUGAUUGCAUCGUUUGAACACGCGUAGAUAAAAAACGUGUCCUUACGAAAAAAAAUUGAUUUUUCAUACCUUUACUACAUGAACGGAAAAAUCAAAUAAAACAUCAAAUACCUCUAUAGAAAUUAUGUGAUUGUGCAUUAAUUAUUGAAAAUGUUAUUUCAAUGUUUGUCUUUAAAGAAAGGAAUUAUCUUGAAAAAAAA